AUAUCUUCUUAUAUAUCAAAAUAUCUCUACUCAAAACUUUCUUAUCUCCAAUUCUUCAACUUAGUUCCCCUGUUUGUGAUGGCCGUCUGAGUACCUGCAUGAAGUUGGUCAGAGGCCCUUCAGAACCAGUUGUGUAAUGGGCACUGGGACAAGAGACAGAUUUUUCUUUCAAGAAAACAAAAAACAAAAAACUGUGAUUCAUUCUGGCUGGAUAAUGCUGAACGAGACCAAGAAGCUCUCUGUGCUUUGGGACUUCACACGUGGCCAGGGAGGAGCUGGAUGGCUGCAUGAAGGGGGCUGACUGACUGUGGGAACAAUAGCCAGGAAAGACCUAUCUUCCUGUCUUGCUGAGCGUCUACCUGUGUACUUCCAUAGCCCUCAUUGUUAUGUGGGGGCCCUGACCAAUCACAUUAUCCCAGGGACAAUGUAAGCGUCAAGGAGAAACUUUCUCACAUGAUUCUCCUAAAGUAUUUCUGGAAGC